ensembl:miRNA
UCAGCCAGCUUACAACUUGACCCUCUCACCUGAUUUCUACCAAACUUUCCUCAGCUGAUUUCUUUCUGCGGAAAGGUUGGUAGAAAUCAGGUGAGAGGGUCAGGCCAUAAGCUGGCUAAC